AUUGAACGCUAGCGGGAUGCUUUACACAUGCAAGUCGAACGGCAGCGCGGACUUCGGUCUGGCGGCGAGUGGCGAACGGGUGAGUAAUGUAUCGGAACGUGCCCAGUAGCGGGGGAUAACUACGCGAAAGCGUAGCUAAUACCGCAUACGCCCUACGGGGGAAAGCAGGGGAUCGUAAGACCUUGCACUAUUGGAGCGGCCGAUAUCGGAUUAGCUAGUUGGCGAGGUAACGGCUCACCAAGGCGACGAUCCGUAGCUGGUUUGAGAGGACGACCAGCCACACUGGGACUGAGACACGGCCCAGACUCCUACGGGAGGCAGCAGUGGGGAAUUUUGGACAAUGGGGGCAACCCUGAUCCAGCCAUCCCGCGUGUGUGAUGAAGGCCUUCGGGUUGUAAAGCACUUUUGGCAGGAAAGAAACGUCGCGGGCUAAUACCCCGUGGAACUGACGGUACCUGCAGAAUAAGCACCGGCUAACUACGUG
rnacentral:rRNA from 1 species